rnacentral:sRNA from 1 species
GGGACUGACCCUCUGCUUUGCUCCCCAGGUACUGAAGGACCUGCCGAGGGUGGAGGGGCGGCCUGGAGCCUCCCUCCCUCCCCUGGAUCUGCAGGCACUGGAGAAGGAGCUGGUAGACCGGCAUGGGGAGGAGGUGACGCCGGAAGAUGUGCUCUCAGCAGCUAUGUACCCCGAUGUGUUUGCCCACUUCAAGGACUUCACUGCCACCUUUGGCCCCCUGGAUAGCCUGAAUACUCGCCUCUUCCUGCAGGGACCCAAGAUCGCAGAGGAGUUUGAGGUGGAGCUGGAGCGGGGCAAGACGCUGCACAUCAAAGCCCUGGCCGUGAGCGACCUGAACCGGGCCGGCCAGAGGCAGGUCUUCUUUGAGCUCAAUGGGCAGCUGCGGUCCAUCUUGGUCAAGGACACCCAGGCCAUGAAGGAGAUGCACUUCCACCCCAAGGCCCUAAAGGACGUGAAGGGCCAGAUCGGGGCGCCCAUGCCUGGGAAGGUGAUAGACAUCAAAGUGGUGGCAGGGGCCAAGGUGGCCAAGGGCCAGCCCCUGUGUGUGCUCAGUGCCAUGAAGAUGGAGACUGUGGUGACCUCACCCAUGGAGGGUACUGUCCGCAAGGUUCAUGUGACCAAGGACAUGACACUGGAAGGUGACGACCUCAUCCUGGAGAUCGAGUGAUCUUGCCCCAGACCGGCAGCCUGGCCAUCCCCAAGCCUUCAACAGAAGCUGUGCUGCCACGGCAGGCCCAGGCCAGCCAGUGCCCGAGGCCAGGAAGGCCGGGCCGUGGAGGUCCUGUCCACAGCUGGACAGGAGAGACACCGCCUGCGGCGGUUCAUUCCUUUCAGCCAUCGUCCUUUCCUCCGGCGGACAGCUGCUUACAUGUUCAUCUCUUGCCAAAUAAGGGUCCCCUCCUCACUGGAGACUACAAGUGGUGGGUCAGGUGGUCCUAGGACCCAGGGGAGGUUUAGGGGUCCUAUCUCCUGGGGGAAGGGGAGAUCUAAGAUGUCCCAGGUCCUGGG